UGAGUUUAAUAAUCCCUUCUAAUGAAUAGAAUGUGGUAGAAGUGACGUGUGACUUCCGAGGCUAGAUCAUAAAAGGCUUCUUUGUCACUCACUCCGGGAGAAACUAACCACCAUGAUGUGAGGACAGUCUUUAUACACCAUGUGGAGAGGAGCGUGCCGGCCAUGUGUAUCUUGGAAAUGGGUCUUCCAGCUUCAGUCAAGCCUUUAGAUGGCAGCCGCAGCUGACGUCUGUCUGACUGACUGCAACCACAUGGGAGACCCUGAGCCAGAAUCACCAAGCUAAAUUGUACAUGAGUUUCCAGCUUACAGAAACGAAGGAAAACUCAAACUCAGGGGCUCAAGGACAUGUCAAAGGCACAGACAUAUGUUCCUGCAUUGAUCAAAUCAGGCUGUGCAGGUGGUUCGCUGCUCUGUGGACCAGCACAGCACUCGUAUCUAAAUGCAUAAACAGGGGGCCUGCUCUCCACGUGUAAACUGAUCUGGUGCAAUUCAGAAUAUAUUCUAGGACUGGUGCCUUCUUCAACUCAUGCAAAUAAAAGUGCAGCAUGGUCCAAAGUACUGGAGUCAUGAGAAGGGACAGAAAGAAAACCUCUCUUUAAAAAACUAGUGGCUGAAAAACAAAUAUUUGUGGUGCAAUAAAUUCGGAGUGCAAGAUAUCUUUCUUGGCUUCAGGUUAUCAUCUUGGAAAGAACACAGUGGUGGCACUAUCUCUGCAAGCAAAGGUCAAGAAAUUUGUCUCUAGAUGUCACAAGAAAAUCAGAAUAAGUGCAUAUUGCUGUAUUCCAAACUGUGACCCCAGGAAGUCAACAGACAGCCCAACUGCUGCCACUGCCCACAGGAGGCAGUUGGUACAGAGAUGACACUGAAGGGGACAAGACUACGAGCUACAUUACCAACAAAGUCUUGACUCACAAAAUGAUAUUUGCUUCUGGUCGCCAAUUGGACUUCUGGCUCUCCUCAACCAGCUUGUUAAUGGGAGUUUUUGUCAAAAAGAGCACUGAGUAGGGGAGUGAAUGAUGUGUGAAGCUAGAAAUUGUAAAGAAAAAGCAAUACAGUUCAGUAGGGAGAGUGCAGAUUUAGACUAGCAUCUGGGUCUGAGAUCCCACUUCUGUGCGACAGCCAGGAGCAAGUUCCUUUCUCUCUCUGAGCCCGUGUGUUCUCAUCUAUAGACUGGGGAUAGUACUACCUUGUGGGGGGUUAUGCAUUUACAAUGCUUAAUACUUGGAAGGCAUGCAAUAAGUGCUAACUAUUAUUACUAUUAUUAAUCUGUUGGAAACGAAAAAUUCAAAGCAUUUCUCUAUUACUUAUUGUGGAAUAGUACUGACGUCUUUUCAUAAUUUAAGUCCAUAUUUCAGAGUAAAAAAGACAUGAUGAUUGAUAUUUACUGGUUUGACUUAUAAAGUAAGAGUGACUUUUUACGUUAACUGACACACAUUUGAUUAGAAGCUUGGUCCUUCAACUUUAAAAAAUAAAGUAAUAAUAUUGAAACCGUAGAAGUAAAUCCUAGCAGCUGCUUGAGGAAUAAUUUCAAAUUGUGCAAGAUCACAAAUGAGAAGGCUAGCUAUCACUUGGAUGACUGUGUGUCAGAUUCUGCUCCUGAGACCUUUAUAUCCGGUAACUCACUCAAAUGAAGUAUGAGCAUAAUUAAUUUAAUAAGCCACUGUUGGGGAACUCUAGUAAACAUAUUUGAUGAGUUGAAAGGCGUGGUCUGAGUUCUGUGUUUGUUCAACCUGGG
ensembl:lncRNA